AGACGGUCGGCAUGCUUUUUAGUAAGGCAAAGAGUAUGUAAUGGUCGGCCAAAUCCUCAAUGCCCAUAUACCAGUCCGUUGGAUCUUCGCAGCCCAUCAAAUUUCUGAAGUCUCAUGCAUGAAUCCGAUCGUAUGUGUUGAAGAAUGCUUGGAAUGGGCCGAAAAACAAUCCCAUAUGCCAACUGCCCAUGUCCACAACGCAAACAUUGAAAAGCCCAAAACACAAGCCCAACUGAUUUUCCGGUUGUUAUCAUUCCGAAGGUUUGGUUCCGCUUUUCCUACAAGAGAACCGUGAAUUUUCGGGACACAAACAGGGGCGCAGUAAACAUCAAUCGAGGAAAAAAAAGAAGGGAAAUCCAGGUUCGUAGGGAAGAGUUGUCAAAGACCCGAAAGCUCUCUCCCCGGCUUCUGCGACCUCAGACACUCUCUUCUUCUCGGGUAUGUUUGGUGUACUCUCAACUCCAGUUCCGGCCGCAUAUACACACACAAGCUAGGUUCGAUUUCUCUACCUUUCUCCAUUACUUUCCAUGGUCCACAUCAAGCCAUCUAAUCUCCCAUUAUUUCUCUUCGGGAUAUCAGACUUGGUCUUUGGGAUUAUGUUGAGAAACUAGGGUUAACCAUGGUCGAAUUGGCGUCUUUUUAUGUGGUGAAGGCUUGUGCUGGACAGAGUUGUGAAGCGGGAGGGAGUUUGGGUGGAAGAUAGAAAGAUUGGUGCUACUGGAGUUCAUAUAGCACUUGGGAUCGAUUCGCAUGGAUUGGCAUUCAAAUUGAUCCUGAUAUGAACUAUUUUAAGAACAUUGUGCCUUGUGGCAUUGUGAAUAAGGAAGUUACAUCAUUGAGAAGGGAAACCGGUAUUUUGCUUCCUGCCGACGAAGUAAUUCAUGAGCAGGUGAUUACUUGUUUUGCAAGAGUAUUUGGUUAUAUUGAUAUUACUUGGAAGGAGAAUCCUUUGACAUUGGAAGGAAAAUCUCAGUGAUUUUUUCCACAAUAAAAGAAUCUCCCCAGCCAAGCAAUGCUGAUAUACUGUUAUCCAUACUUGAUAAAUUUCAGAACUUCUGUUGCCCGAAUGUUCGGUUGACUCUAUUUCUCUUUUAUCACGGUCUGCUUUGAGUUCACUCUUCUAGAUCUCAGACGGAUAGCUGUCUGGAUUUGACUGAAACUGCAGAUCUAUAUAUUUUUCUACCAAAAGAAUCAUCUUUCAGAAUUGGAUCUUGAUUGACUAGUCACCUGAAGGCGCUUACCAUAAAACGACUUUGUGCAUUACAACUAUAGAUGAGGGUUGUUCUUGUUCUCUUUGCAUUAUAUAUACUUGGGACUGCAUUUGUGUUUGUGCUGUAGAGGAAUGGCAUUUCUCUUGAAGACCAGAACUAUGAGGUGUAGAAGACAAGAAUGGACUGGGGACUGCAUUUGUGUUUGUGCAGUAGAGGAAUGACAUUUCUCUUGAAGACCAGAACUAUGAGGUGUAGAAGACAAGAAUGGACAAGCGAUGAACCAUAUCAAAAUAUCUACCAUUGACAAGUAAAACAUAAAUGUCUCUUGAUUUCUUACGGAUCCAAUGCUAGAAGACUUGGUCUUCAGAACGGGCCAUAAUUGUACGAGUGAAUGACAUUUCUUAUCUAAAAGUCGCCUCUUAAAUUUGAUAUAAUGGAACAGCUGGGAACUUCACCAGGUUUUUGAUAUGCAUCUGGGUUUGUUCAA